ensembl:lncRNA
AUGUAUAUUGAUAAUAUGGAUGGGCCGUUCUCUCUGGCCGCGCUGCCGUAUUCUCAGAUGAAUGAAUUCCUGAACCGUACGGGAGAGAGAAACUACGGCCGCCCGCAUGAGCCACCGCCACCACCACCAACCUACCCCCCCGACACCAAACCAGCCUCCGUUAUCAGCUCCAGCUCAGGUUUCUCGGACAGCGUCACGCAGUCUCCGGCUCGCACGCCUGUCUUCCUCAACUCCAAUGCCCCGCCCCCAGCCCCUCCCCCUUUACCCCCGCCCCCUCCUCCUCUGCCAGCCAGCCUAUCAGGUUCAAGAAUGCGUGGUUCAGCCCCGCCUCCGAUCCCUCCCUUACCUUCCCAGCACCCCCCGGCCAUCCCCCCUCCCCCCGCCCCCCUCCAGAUAGCCCCAGGCGUCCUGCACCCCGCCCCCCCUCCAGUAGCUCCGCCCCUUCACUCCUCCCCCGCCCGUGGACAGCUGGACAAGACUCCGCCCACAGCCGGAGACGGAAUGGUUUUGCCGCCGCCUCCCCCUCCUCCUCCUCUGCCCCUCCCAGGAAACAGAAGCUCCUCCCCCUGCUCCUCCUCAGGCCCGCCCACCAUGCCUUCCUUCCCAUCAGGAGCGGUUUCGUCGCCGCCCACUCACUCGGGUCACGAGGUCAAGAGGUAUCCAUCCAACCUGCCGCCAAUCAGCGACGCCCGCAGCGUUCUUUUGGAGGCCAUCCGUAAAGGUAGGCGGAGUUUCGCUCAAGUUCACUUAGCAUAUGCAAAUCAGGUAUCUGUCCAUUUCCUUCUAUUUCCAUGUCUGAUUUGAUUACGUGCAUCGCAAUGCAUCAUGGGAUAAGAAGUUCAUUCCCAUCUAAACUUUUAAUACAAGGAAAGCUAAAUUAAGAAUAGCUCGCAUACUGCUCUGUUUCUGCCAUAUCUUUAUACAUUUUAAUAUGCUAGUAUGCUAUACUAAAUUUAGCCCAUAUUUGUCUAUUUUACUAUUUUUAUUUUGCUCCGAAUCAAACAUUUCAUAAGUAGAAAAAAACAAGUAGAUCAAGUACAUUUUUUUAAAUUACAUAUUCAGAUAGUUAUUAGGAUAUUUCUUAAACGCUCCAAACCUUUUGGCCCCAAAUUAAAUUUUUAAUGUAGCUUAGUUUACAACUUUAUUAAUUUCUGUGGCAAUCAGAUGCUCUCUCUCUCUAUAUAUAUAGUUUUUAAUUAAAUAUAUUUAAUAUUUUAAAUGUAUAUCAUUUUAUUAAAUAUAUUUUAACACUUUUUUUCUCUCAAAUUAUUAAAUACAUAAAAAAUGUAUAUAUAAUUAAAAAAAUUGUUUUAAAUGCUUA